GGGUUAAACAUACAUUCAACUGAUUGUUCUUUUUGCUUGUCACACUGCAAGGCAUUAGCUUCACGUCACCUAAUGAUGAAGCCCCCGCUACAUCUUCCCCUCCCACUCCCUUCCCUUAAUGCAGGCUAGCCCAACAGGUCUCAGCCUUGAUUAAAAUGCCUGCCAUUCAUUUACACUUCUAUCUCUCUCUCUAGCACGAACACACGUGAAAGUCGUCUGGGGAAAUAAUUAAGACUCUUUAGAACACAGGAAACAUUUCAAGCAUACAGCCGGCCUGCUCCCGCGGUAUACCGGCGCGCAUGUUUGUCGAAACGUGUUCCUCCGUAAAUGGGGCCAAAAGCACGUUUCACUGUCGAUGGUACUGCUGAAGUUAAUAUUUCAAAAAGAUUGCGUUGCUGUCUCUUUCUCUCUCUCAUUUUUAAUUUUUUUUUCUGAUCCCACAGGCUUCGUGACCUGGUUUCUGUCUUGGCGCGCCCUUCGUCCUCUCAGCAGGCUGGCCUUAGGCAUGUACCUAGUGCACAUGCCUUUCAUGCAGUUCACUUUGAACAUCUCCAGGGAAAGGAUGUUCUUCUCGCACUUCUUCGUGAUGUCCUUCGCCAUGGUCAUACUCACCUGGGGCUUUCUUCUCACCUACCUGCUCUAUGUGUACUGCGAGGCGCCAGCUUGCAGAAUGGUGGAGCUCCUCUUCAGGACUCGGUGUACGAAGAGCGACGGUACAGCCGGCGACGAGCUGCCGAUCGUCUUCGGUUCCGAAGAAAAACUGCCACACAUCAGUGCAACGUUCCAUAAGGCCGAAAAGGCCCCUGCAACGAAGAAGAUGGACACCAUAAAUAAAUUUGACAGCUUUCAUCGCGGCAACAGUAGCCUCGUAAGUUGCCAUCUAUAGUUUCGUUUUCUGCAGUGGAGUUCCUACCAAUAAUGCUCUAGAAGCAACUAUGUACAAAUGUUCUGACGAGAUAGCCCCAAUUAAAAAAGGUCAAAAUUCAAAGACAGAUGUGUUUUUAGGUCUAAAUAAACAAAAAUAAUAAACAAUUUUUUGUUUAUUUUGUUGAAGGUGACAUGCAUGUCAUGCUGCAUAAGCGUCAUCAAAUACCUCUUCAAACUGCAUCUUAUCUGAAGAAACUUGCAACAACAUGUAAUCCACUUUGGCGUUGCACUCAAACGCCACCAUUUAAAUGUAUACUGAUUGUCGUCACUUAUGUACCACUGAAGAGGUUCAUAUAAUUGCCGCUAGCUUUAGCAUUCCUUUUCUUGCAGGAACGAUAAUCUUGCAGAGUCGCUAAAAGUUUUUCAUAAGAUUUACUGAUCGCGGACAUGAUGAUGUUGCACAGCUUUUUGUUGGGCUGCCUAUACUCAAUUCAGUUAAAUACUCGUAAUAGAAAGGGCACUGACGAUGGGUUGUACGCAUGCGGGGGGGCUGUGCUCGCUUUGUAUAUUGCCCUGUUGCAAUAAAAACAACGUUGUUAGUCA